CUUACUUCUGGCAUCAACUCCACUCUUCUCACGGAAAACUGCCCCACCUCAGUGUGUUUUCUCUUAACGGUUCUGAAACUCUAUCUUCCUGGGGUCAUGUCGUUAAUUUCUGCUAGAGCUCUAGCAUUGAAGGAUCCAAGGCCAGAACAUCUCCUACAUAUUCCUUGCUAUUUGAAUGAAGGAAUGAUGGCCUGUGGUUAGUAGAAGUGAAUGAGUACAGAGGAAACAGAAGAUGAGGAACUAACAAGAGUCCUUCCAGCACAGACCCUGGGUGCAGCCAGCCAUCCCAGAGGCAAGAGCCAACCUGUUACCUGUUUACAUGGAUCAAUAAAUCCUCCUUCAGCCUCA
rnacentral:lncRNA from 1 species